rnacentral:rRNA from 1 species
CCUACGGGUGGCAGCAGUGAGGAAUAUUGGUCAAUGGACGAGAGUCUGAACCAGCCAAGUAGCGUGAAGGAUGACUGCCCUAUGGGUUGUAAACUUCUUUUAUAUGGGAAUAAAACGUUCCACGUGUGGGAUUUUGUAUGUACCAUAUGAAUAAGGAUCGGCUAACUCCGUGCCAGCAGCCGCGGUAAUACGGAGGAUCCGAGCGUUAUCCGGAUUUAUUGGGUUUAAAGGGAGCGUAGGUGGAUUGUUAAGUCAGUUGUGAAAGUUUGCGGCUCAACCGUAAAAUUGCAGUUGAAACUGGCAGUCUUGAGUACAGUAGAGGUGUGCGGAAUUCGUGGUGUAGCGGUGAAAUGCUUAGAUAUCACGAAGAACUCCGAUUGCGAAGGCAGUUCACUGGACUGCAACUGACACUGAGGCUCGAAAGUGUGGGUAUCAAACAGGAUUAGAUACCCCUGUAGUG